rnacentral:tRNA from 3 species
GGUGAGGUGCCCGAGCGGCCAAAGGGGGCGGACUGUAAAUCCGCUGGCGGAACGCCUUCGGAGGUUCAAAUCCUCCCCUCACCACCA